UAGAAGUUUACAUUUUUUAGAUACAUUGCUGGAGGUUGUGUUUGUAGAAUACCCGGUAUUUGUUGUUGAGUAUAGGUUGUAGAGUCCAGCUAUCCAAGUAUUUGGCUAGAAUUGGUCGCAGAUAUUGAAUCAGCAUCAUCUGUUUUCACCGUGGUGAUGGAUUUGGUAUUUGUCUUUGUCUUUUUUUAUUUUGGUUUUUCCAUUAAACAUUUUUACACCGUUUAUGAUGUGUAUAGAUUGGAUACUCUCCGAUAUUCUUUUACGGAAUCAAUUAAUUGACAGCAUUUCCAAGACAUUGUCUUAAGUGACAUGGUUCCCAUUAUAGUAAAUGUUAUGUUGAUACAGCAAUCGAAGUGGAUUCUCAAGUACGCCUCCUUUUGCGGUAAUGGAAUCUUUGUAACAUCUCAG
rnacentral:lncRNA from 1 species